rnacentral:misc_RNA from 1 species
GAUGAAGAACGCAGCGAAAUGCGAUAAGUAAUGUGAAUUGCAGAAUUCAGUGAAUCAUCGAAUCUUUGAACACACAUUGCGCCCCCUGGUAUUCCGGGGGGCAUGCCUGUUCGAGCGUCAUUUCACCACUCAAGCCUCGCUUGGUAUUGGGCAACGCGGUCCGCCGCGUGCCUCAAAUCGACCGGCUGGGUCUUCUGUCCCCUAAGCGUUGUGGAAACUAUUCGCUAAAGGGUGUUCGGGAGGCUACGCCGUAAAACAACCCCAUUUCUAAGGUUGACCUCGGAUCAGGUAGGGAUACCCGCUGAACUUAAGCAUAUCAAUAAGCGGAGGA